UAGUUAACGGUAGGGUGGAGCUAAGGA
rnacentral:piRNA from 1 species